rnacentral:rRNA from 1 species
GAUGAACGCUGGCGGCGUGCCUAAUACAUGCAAGUCGAGCGAACAGACGAGGAGCUUGCUCCUCUGACGUUAGCGGCGGACGGGUGAGUAACACGUGGAUAACCUACCUAUAAGACUGGGAUAACUUCGGGAAACCGGAGCUAAUACCGGAUAAUAUAUUGAACCGCAUGGUUCAAUAGUGAAAGACGGUUUUGCUGUCACUUAUAGAUGGAUCCGCGCCGCAUUAGCUAGUUGGUACGGUAACGGCUUACCAAGGCAACGAUGCGUAGCCGACCUGAGAGGGUGAUCGGCCACACUGGAACUGAGACACGGUCCAGACUCCUACGGGAGGCAGCAGUAGGGAAUCUUCCGCAAUGGGCGAGAGCCUGACGGAGCAACGCCGCGUGAGUGAUGAAGGUCUUCGGAUCGUAAAGCUCUGUUAUUAGGGAAGAACAAAUGUGUAAGUAACUAUGCACGUCUUGACGGUACCUAAUCAGAAAGCCCCGGCUAACUACGUG